rnacentral:rRNA from 1 species
AGAGUUUGAGUUAUGGCUCAGGAUGAACGCUGGCGGCGUGCUUAACACAUGCAAGUCGAACGGAGAACAUUCGCUGAAGCGAGCUUGCUCAAUCUUGAGUGUUCUUAGUGGCGGACGGGUGAGUAACGCGUGGGUAACCUGCCCAUUACCGGGGGACAACAGUUGGAAACGGCUGCUAAUACCGCAUAAGCGCACAGUUUCGCAUGAAACGGUGUGAAAAACUCCGGGUGGUAAAUGGAUGGACCCGCGUCUGAUUAGCUAGUUGGUGAGGUAACGGCCCACCAAGGCGACGAUCAGUAGCCGGCCUGAGAGGGUGAACGGCCACAUUGGGACUGAGACACGGCCCAAACUCCUACGGGAGGCAGCAGUGGGGAAUAUUGCACAAUGGGGGAAACCCUGAUGCAGCGACGCCGCGUGAGUGAAGAAGUAUUUCGGUAUGUAAAGCUCUAUCAGCAGGGAAGAAAAUGACGGUACUUGACUAAGAAGCCCCGGCUAACUACGUGCCAGCAGCGGC